UACACACCGCCCGUCACACCAUGGGAGUCAGUUGCUCCAGAAACGGCUGCGCUAACCCGCAAGGGGGGCAGGUCUUUAAGGAGUGACUGGUAACUGGGGUG
rnacentral:rRNA from 1 species